GCUAAACGCGAAGAACCUUACCCACCUUUGACAUGUACGGAAUCCUUUAGAGAUGAAGGAGUGCUCGAAAGAGAGCCGUAACACAGGUGCUGCAUGGCUGUCGUCAGCUCGUGUCGUGAGAUGUUGGGUUAAGUCCCGCAACGAGCGCAACCCUUGCCAUUAGUUGCUACAUUUAGUUGAGCACUCUAAUGGGACUGCCGGUGACAAACCGGAGGAAGGUGGGGAUGACGUCAAGUCCUCAUGGCCCUUAUAGGUGGGGCUACACACGUCAUACAAUGGCUGGUACAAAGGGUUGCCAACCCGCGAGGGGGAGCUAAUCCCAUAAAGCCAGUCGUAGUCCGGAUCGCAGUCUGCAACUCGACUGCGUGAAGUCGGAAUCGCUAGUAAUCGUGGAUCAGAAUGUCACGGUGAAUACGUUCCCGGGUCUUGUACACACCG
rnacentral:rRNA from 1 species